rnacentral:misc_RNA from 1 species
AAGGAUCAUUACAGAUUAGAGAAGCUUAAUUGCUUUUUCUUACACUUGUGUUUUCUUAUAUGAAAAAUUUCUUUGGUAGUGGACUCAAUUGUUCGCUGCCAGAGGUUAAACUCAACUAAACUUUUUUUUUUAUUAUAUUGUCAACAAGAAAUCUAAUAGUUAAAACUUUCAACAACGGAUCUCUUGGUUCUCGCAUCGAUGAAGAACGCAGCGAAAUGCGAUAAGUAAUAUGAAUUGCAGAUAUUCGUGAAUCAUCGAAUCUUUGAACGCACAUUGCGCCUUUUGGUAUUCCAGAAGGCAUGCUUGUUUGAGCGUCAUUUCUCCUUCAAACCUUUGGGUUUGGUGUUGAGCAAGACGAUUUUCAGAGUUUGCUUGAAAAAUAUUUAUAGUUAUUUUACAAUGGAUAGGUUCUACCAAAUCUUUGGAAAUAUAUAACUACAUAUUUUAUCCAAAUUCGACCUCAAAUCAAGUAGGAUUACCCGCUGAACUUAAGCAUAUCAAUAAGCGGAGGAA